rnacentral:rRNA from 1 species
UGUCUUUUUGAAAAUAAUAUAAAGUCUAAUCUGCCCACUGAUUUUAUAUUAAAGGGCUGCAGUAUUUUGACUGUACAAAGGUAGCAUAAUCAUUAGUCAUUUAAUUGAUGACUUGUAUGAAAGAUUGGAUGAAGUGUAGACUGUCUCUUAAUUAUUAGUGUAAAAUUUAAUUUUUUAAUUAAAAAGUUAAAAUAAUUUAAAAAGACGAGAAGACCCUAUAGAGUUUUAUAAAUAGAUUAAUUAAGAUUAUUUGAAAUUUAAAAUUAAAAUUAGUUUAUUUAUUAUAUUGGGGUGAUAGAAAAAUAUAUAUAACUUUUUUUUUUUGUAAAAACAUUUAUAAGUGAUUAAAUGAUCCAAUAUUAUUGAUUAUAAGAAAAAAUUACCUUAGGGAUAACAGCGUAAUUUUUUUUUUUAGUUCAUAUAAAAAAAAGAGUUUGCGACCUCGAUGUUGGAUUAAGAUAAAAUUUAAAUGUAGAAG